rnacentral:misc_RNA from 1 species
AAGUCGUAACAAGGUUUCCGUAGGUGAACCUGCGGAAGGAUCAUUAACACUUAUAUUUUUAUAUUUAUCCAAUAUCAAAAUUUCAACCAAACGUGAACAUAUCUCCUCCCUACUUCGUGCAACCGGAGACGGUCCGAGUAGGCUAAAAUUUUUUAACAAUUUUUAACCCCAUUUAAAAAAUUCAACUCUUCGAUUUUUGCUUUGGAAACAAAACAAAGAACGAACUAAACUAAAAUAUACAUUGAUUAUAUUUUUCUUUUACGAAAUAAUAUAUAUUUAUUAAGAACAACUCUUAGCAAUGGAUAUCUUGGUUCUC